AGACGGAGAAGCUUAGAGAGGGAGAGAGGAGGUGAAGAGGGAGAAACCAGAAAGAAGAGGCAGGAGCAGAGAAGGGAGAGGGGGAGGAAGAGGAGGAGGAGGAGGUGAGAGAAGCAGGAUGGGGACAUGGAGUUAGGUGGCUUGGGAGAGCUUACUGAAAAGAGCCAAGAGGGGGUGUGGAUUAGAGACCAAGAGGUAACCCCAGGGAGAAGCAGAAGGCAGAGACAGCAGUAGGAAGAUCAGGAGGCAGGGGGAGACUGGAGAGUUGAGAAGGAAGAGAGACUCAGAGGGGAGGACGGAGAGGAGUGGGUUGAGGGGAUCGCAGUCCCCUGCUGGCUUGGUAUUUGGGGAACCGGGACUCCCCGUGGGGAGAGGAGGAAGGCUGGAAGUCCUGGAGGGACAGAGUCCCACGGAAAAGAGAGGGAAGAGCUGAGAGGGGCUGGGGCGCUGGGAAGGGGUCGCCCCGAGGCCUCCCGGGGAUGGGUGGUGCAGCUAGUCUGAGCGCCUCGCGAACGCUGGUACUCUGGGCUGCACUGGGGGCAGCAGCUCACAUCGGACCCGCACCUGACCCCGAGGACUGGUGGAGCUACAAGGAUAAUCUCCAGGGAAACUUCGUGCCAGGGCCUCCCUUCUGGGGCCUGGUGAACGCAGCCUGGAGUCUGUGUGCCGUGGGGAAGCGGCAGAGCCCCGUGGAUGUGGAGCUGAAGAGGGUUCUUUACGACCCCUUCCUGCCGCCACUGAGGCUCAGCACUGGGGGAGAGAAGCUCCGGGGAACCCUGUACAACACCGGUCGCCACGUGUCUUUCCUGCCUGCACCCCGGCCCGUGGUCAAUGUGUCUGGGGGUCCCCUCCUUUAUAGCCACCGACUCAGUGAAUUGCGGCUGCUAUUUGGAGCACGUGACGGAGCUGGCUCUGAACACCAGAUCAACCACCAGGGUUUCUCUGCUGAGGUGCAGCUCAUCCACUUCAACCAAGAACUCUACGGGAACCUCAGCGCAGCCACCCGGGGCCCCAAUGGCCUGGCCAUUCUCAGCCUCUUUGUCAAUGUGGCUGGAAGCUCAAACCCGUUCCUCAGCCGCCUCCUGAACCGGGACACCAUCACCCGCAUCUCCUACAAGAAUGACGCCUACUUUCUUCAAGACCUAAGCCUGGAGCUCCUAUUCCCUGACUCCUUCGGCUUCAUCACCUAUCAGGGCUCUCUCAGCACCCCACCCUGCUCUGAGACUGUCACCUGGAUCCUCAUUGACCGGGCCCUCAAUAUCACCUCCCUCCAGAUGCAUUCCCUGAGACUCCUGAGCCAGAAUCCUCCAUCCCAGAUCUUCCAGAGCCUCAGCGGUAACGGCCGGCCCCUGCAGCCCUUGGCCCACAGGGCCUUGAGGGGCAACAGGGACCCCCGGCACCCUGAGAGGCGCUGCCGAGGCCCCAACUACCGCCUGCAUGCCCUGUGAUCUAAAGGGCCACCUCUCUGACAUCUCAACAUGGUACGGACCAGAGCCCCCCCUCCCUGCAAGAAUACCUUCACAUAGUUCAGCCUGAUGCUGAAACGGAACGCCCCUGUUCCACCCUCCUGCUGCCUCUCUACGGCUCAACCCACUGCCGGCCCAUUUCUCCCAGCUUCCCAGCCUGUGGAUGGUGUCCCCCAUGGUCGCUGAGAUUCCCUAUCGAGGAUUGCACCUGUUCUUCCCAACCCUACCCAAGAGGGAAGGGGAGUCACUCCCAAAACAAAGCUAUUAAAGGAACAGAAUAA